rnacentral:lncRNA from 1 species
GAGGAGAAAUUCUUCAAAUAAGCUUGGAGCCAUGGAGUUGGAGACACUGAGAAAGAGCAUGCUUCCAACGAGAACAUGAGUUUCAAAAUAGAGCUUGGAGAAGAGGGUGGGAUGUGCAGAGCUUGGAGAAGAGGAUUUAUCUGGCUACAUUUGAGCUGUACUCCAUGCCUACCAUAUCCUGCGGUGCUACAUGCACAUAGUAAGGGAUCUGUACUCGUAUAUUCUGCGCC